rnacentral:rRNA from 1 species
UUGUCUAANCCUUAUCAUUUAGAGGAAGGUGAAGUCGUAACAAGGUUUCCGUAGGUGAACCUGCGGAAGGAUCAUUACCACACAAUAAUCCAAACCGCGCUUACAUUAAACCCAUAGGCUCUGGCCCUGCUAACUAGUGGUAAACCCCUCUGUAACCCAUCGAGUCUCUCUGGUGUUUACAACCUUAUAAGAUCUCAUUAUGUGCCACUGCCGUGAUGAUGCAACCUGGAGGCCAACGAGUACGAUCCACCAAUUUAAAUUCAAUCGACAGCUUGACGAGAGUCAAGUUUAAAAGUAUAACAUUCCAAUACAACUUUCAGCAAUGGAUGUCUUGGUUCCCAACACAAUGAAGAACACAGCGAAAUGUGAUACGUAAUACGAAUUGCAAGACUUUGUGAAUCAUUGAAUUUUUGAACGCAUAUUGCGCUGCCAGAUUCUUUCUGGGAGCAUACACGACAGAGUAUCAUCAAACCCCAAUCUAUAACAUUAUUUGUUAUGGGCAAGUGAAGUUGGCUUUAAACAAAGCACUCCUUCUAAGUUAUUUAGUGCAGAGGUAUUUUCACAUUGUAGGAAACUCAGUGUAUUUGUUUCAACGUGCUAUUGGUCAAAAUUCACUUUUUGACUGUCUUCUUAACUGAUCUCUGGCUGUGUAGGACUACCCGCUGAAUUU